rnacentral:rRNA from 1 species
GAUGAACGCUGGCGGCGUGCCUAAUAUAUGCAAGUCGAGCGAACGGACGAGACGCUUGCUUCUCUGAUGUUAGCGGCGGACGGGUGAGUAACACGUGGAUAACCUACCUAUAAGACUGGGAUAACUUCGGGAAACCGGAGCUAAUACCGGAUAAUAUUUUGAACCGCAUGGUUCAAAAGUGAAAGACGGUCUUGCUGUCACUUAUAGAUGGAUCCGCGCUGCAUUAGCUAGUUGGUAAGGUAACGGCUUACCAAGGCAACGAUGCAUAGCCGACCUGAGAGGGUGAUCGGCCACACUGGAACUGAGACACGGUCCAGACUCCUACGGGAGGCAGCAGUAGGGAAUCUUCCGCAAUGGGCGAAAGCCUGACGGAGCAACGCCGCGUGAGUGAUGAAGGUCUUCGGAUCGUAAAACUCUGUUAUUAGGGAAGAACAUAUGUGUAAGUAACUGUGCACAUCUUGACGGUACCUAAUCAGAAAGCCACGGCUAACUACGUG